rnacentral:rRNA from 1 species
CGCGGCCUAUCAGCUUGUUGGUGGGGUGAUGGCCUACCAAGGCGACGACGGGUAGCCGGCCUGAGAGGGCGACCGGCCACACUGGGACUGGGACACGGCCCAGACUCCUACGGGAGGCAGCAGUGGGGAAUAUUGCACAAUGGGCGGAAGCCUGAUGCAGCGACGCCGCGUGAGGGAUGACGGCCUUCGGGUUGUAAACCUCUUUCAGCAGGGACGAAGCGUGAGUGACGGUACCUGCAGAAGAAGCGCCGGCCAACUACGUGCCAGCAGCCGCGGUAAGACGUAGGGCGCGAGCGUUGUCCGGAUUUAUUGGGCGUAAAGAGCUCGUAGGCGGCUUGUCGCGUCGACUGUGAAAACCCGUGGCUCAACUGCGGGCCUGCAGUCGAUACGGGCAGGCUAGAGUUCGGUAGGGGAGACUGGAAUUCCUGGUGUAGCGGUGAAAUGCGCAGAUAUCAGGAGGAACACCGGUGGCGAAGGCGGGUCUCUGGGCCGAUACUGACGCUGAGGAGCGAAAGCGUGGGGAGCGAACAGGAUUAGAUACCCUGGUAGUCCACGCUGUAAACGUUGGGCGCUAGGUGUGGGGGGCCUCUCCGGUUCUCUGUGCCGCAGCUAACGCAUUAAGCGCCCCGCC